rnacentral:tRNA from 1 species
UCCCUAGUGGUCUAGUGGUUAAGACUGUGUACUUUCACUGCUGAGGACCCAGGUUCGUCCCUGGUCUGGGAA